GACGAACGCUGGCGGCGUGCCUAAUACAUGCAAGUAGAACGCUUAAGCUUGGUGCUUGCACCGACGGAUGAGUUGCGAACGGGUGAGUAACGCGUAGGUAACCUGCCUGGUAGCGGGGGAUAACUAUUGGAAACGAUAGCUAAUACCGCAUAAGAGUAGAUGUUGCAUGACAUUUGCUUAAAAGGUGCAAUUGCAUCACUACCAGAUGGACCUGCGUUGUAUUAGCUAGUUGGUGAGGUAACGGCUCACCAAGGCAACGAUACAUAGCCGACCUGAGAGGGUGAUCGGCCACACUGGGACUGAGACACGGCCCAGACUCCUACGGGAGGCAGCAGUAGGGAAUCUUCGGCAAUGGACGGAAGUCUGACCGAGCAACGCCGCGUGAGUGAAGAAGGUUUUCGGAUCGUAAAGCUCUGUUGUAGAGAAGAACGAGUGUAGAGUGGAAGUUCACACUGUACGGUAUCU
rnacentral:rRNA from 1 species